CCUACGGGAGUCAGCAGUAGGGAAUAUUGGACAAUGGGUGCGAGCCUGAUCCAGCCAUGCCGCGUGCAGGAAGAAGGCCUUCUGGGUUGUAAACUGCUUUUGCCGGGGGAUAAAAGACCCAUGCGUGGGGAAUUGAAGGUACCCGGUGAAUAAGCCACGGCUAACUACGUGCCAGCAGCCGCGGUAAUACGUAGGUGGCGAGCGUUGUCCGGAUUUAUUGGGUUUAAAGGGUGCGUAGGCGGCCCCGUAAGUCAGUGGUGAAAUACGGCAGCUCAACUGUCGAGGUGCCAUUGAUACUGCGGGGCUUGAGUACAGUCGAGGUAGGCGGAAUUGACGGUGUAGCGGUGAAAUGCUUAGAUAUCGUCAAGAACACCGAUAGCGAAGGCAGCUUGCUAGGCUGUAACUGACGCUGAGGCACGAAAGUGCGGGGAUCAAACAGGAUUAGAUACCCUGGUAGUCCGCACAGUAAACGAUGGUCACUCGGUGUUGGCGGUACACGGCCAGCGCCUUAGCGAAAGCGUUAAGUGACCACCUGGGGAGUACGCCCGCAAGGGUGAAACUCAAAGGAAUUGACGGCUGAGACGNGCGAGACGACGACGAGGGAGAGG
rnacentral:rRNA from 1 species